GCAGUGGUAGUUCAGUGGUAGAAUUCUCACCUUCCGUUGUGAGGACCCUGGUUCAAUUCUUGGCUGAUGCA
rnacentral:tRNA from 1 species